CAGCCGAUCUGGCUCCUCUUUUAACCAAACAUGGACUGAGUUGGCUGUCCGACAGCCUGGUGUCACGAUAUCAGCUCCUCUUGAUAGAAUACCCAGACGUUACCCUGGAAACCUGUGCAGCCUUAAAUCCGGCCACGCUCAUUCCGGCAGCCCCAGGAGAACAUGGAAUUGUGCUGUGUCCCGAGAGUAAGCCAGAUUGGGUCCAACAUCUUCCUGUUGCUUUGAUGCGGAUCCGUGUCUCUCCCAGAGGGACACUAAGACUCCGUCCUCUUGAAAUCUUCUCUGGCCGACCAUUCCAGGUACAAGUUCUCAGGGAAUGAGUGGAGGCUGGUUAUCUGCUAGAACACCUCACAGAUCUGGGGAAAGUACAACGGGCAUUGUUGGACUACGGGCAACACGUCUUGCCUGGUCCACAGGAAGGGAAAAAUCACUUCCCCCAUAUAACCAGGGGCUGGGCCCUUCUUAAAGAUUGGAAAGAAAGGGGACCUGCCAAUCAGAGCCCAUGUGGAAGGAUUUUUUACCCCCACAGGAGUCAAACUGAAGGGAAUGAGAGCUGUGUACACAUCUCAAGAGCUAAACCGGGACGUGCCCAGAGUCCAACACCGGCAAGGAUGCUGAGACGACAGACACCUGCAAGUGCAAACCAACUGGAGCAUUAAAGAUUCUCUUCAAAAAGGCUUCAACAGUUCCACGUGAAGCUUAUGCGAGCUUGGGGAUUACACUCCAGACCUGAACAAGAUAAUACCGCUAGCCGUGGAGCCUCUGUGUAAGGCCACAAGUGACUUCCACCUGCAUGUCGCUUGUAAAAUAGGUCAUCGAGCCUGGGGAAACGUCAUCCCUGUUCAGCUGGAAGUAGCUACAGAGGACGUGGACCUUCAGCCCUGUCAGUCCCUUCCCCUGAUUGGUCUCCCAGAGUCUCCACCCCUAGGAACUACGCUCCUGGCCUGUAUUUGCAACCUGAAGAUUUGAUCCCUGCCUAACAAGUAUAUAGUUCAAUGACUUUUGACAACUGUAUACAGCUUUGUGACCAUGACAACCAUCAAGAUAAAGAACAGUUACAUCACUCCAAAAUUUCCCUCCUGCCCCUUCCUAGUCAAUGCCCUGUGUACACCCUUGUCCCUUGGCAACCUCUGACCUGCUUUCUGCCUUUGUAGUUUUUUCUUUUCUGAAAUUUCAUAGAAAUAGAAUCAUUACAGCAUGUGGUCUUGUGGUCUGGUUUAUUUUCACAUAGCUAAUACUUUUGAAGUUCCUCCCAGAUAAUGCCUGUAUCAGUAGCUUGUUCCUUUUUAUUGGUGAGUAGUGUUCCACUGUGUGUGCAUCUACUGCAGUUUGUGUAUCCACUCAUUUUGAAUAUUUUGGACAUUCGAUUAUUUUGGACAUUUUGAUUAUUUUCUU